UGUAUGUCCUUUGGCACCCCCUAGUGGCGUCUGCAAAUAACUGUACUGAAGAGGAAGUGAGGUCAUUGUAAACAAAGAAUAACAGGAAGUGGUGUUCAGGAAGCUCCUUUUUGCUCAGGGAAUCAUCUGUGUACAAUCUUCUUAAUCCUGUGCUUUAAAUCCACAAAACCGGCUUCAUCUUUUUACAAUAUUACAUAUUUUCCUCCAUUAAAUCCUGCCAAAUACAACAACUCGUCUGUUCCUUGGAGAAUGCAAUGCUGGAGAAUAUAUUGUUGAGCUGGCUGUAUAGCUGAAAAACACGUUGCCUGCAACAACUUUGAGUGAGGACAGCAUAGU